CCUCCUCUUCUUGGCGGAGGUAGGGCAUGUGGUCCCAGUCCCUAUGAGGUACGGAGGCAGAGGGAAAGGGUUCUGGCCCCACUUGGCAUCAGGUCUUCGGUGCCGACGGUUUCCAGUCCGCGGUUCUAUCCUCAAGAGCCGCGACACUG